GACGAGGUGGCCGAGCGGUCUAAGGCGCUAGAUUCAGGGCUACCUGGAGUAAUUCAGUGAGAAUCUUCUAGUCCUUAAGGUCGUGUGUUCAAUUCGCAUCGUCGUCA
rnacentral:tRNA from 1 species